GAGCCUGAGAAACGGCUACCACAUCUAAGGAAGGCAGCAGGCGCGCAAAUUACCCAAUCCUGAUACAGAGAGGUAGUGACAAGAAAUAACAAUACAGGGCAUCCAUGUUUUGUAAUUGGAAUGAAUAAAACAUAAAUUCCUUUGUGAGUAUCAAUUGGAGGGCAAGUCUGGUGCC
rnacentral:rRNA from 1 species